UACGUAGGGUGCGAGCGUUGUCCGGAAUUAUUGGGCGUAAAGGGCUCGUAGGCGGUCUGUCGCGUCGGGAGUGAAAACUCAGGGCUUAACCCUGAGCCUGCUUCCGAUACGGGCAGACUAGAGGUAUGCAGGGGAGAACGGAAUUCCUGGUGUAGCGGUGAAAUGCGCAGAUAUCAGGAGGAACACCGGUGGCGAAGGCGGCGUCCUGGACCGACACUGACACUGAGGAGCGAAAGCCAGGGGAGCAAACGGG
rnacentral:rRNA from 1 species